rnacentral:rRNA from 1 species
UAGGGAAUAUUGGGCAAUGGGCGAAAGCCUGACCCAGCAACGCCGCGUGAAGGAUGAAGUAUUUCGGUAUGUAAACUUCGUAAGAAUAGGAAGAAUAAAUGACGGUACUAUUUGUAAGGUCCGGCUAACUACGUGCCAGCAGCCGCGGUAAUACGUAGGGACCAAGCGUUGUUCGGAUUUACUGGGCGUAAAGGGCGCGUAGGCGGUGUGUCAAGUCAGUUGUGAAAUCUCCGAGCUUAACUCGGAACGGUCAACUGAUACUGUCACACUAGAGUACAGAAGGGGCAAUCGGAAUUCUUGGUGUAGCGGUGAAAUGCGUAGAUAUCAAGAGGAACACCGGUGGCGAAGGCGGCCUUCUGGACGGAUACUGACGCUGAGACGCGAAAGCGUGGGGAGCAAACAGGAUUAGAUACCCCCGUAGUCCCUGAGCGGGCUGGCAAGGCGCAU